UGAAGCUGCUAGCUUUGCAAACAUUUGGGUUCCUUUCUGUCGUAAACACACGAUAGAGCCGAGGAACCCUGACUCUUACUUUAGCUUAAAGAGAGAUCCUUACAAGAACAAAGUGAAACCUGACUUCGUCAAGGAUAGGAGACGUGUUAAGCGUGAGUACGAUGAGUUCAAAGUCAGGAUUAACAGCUUGCCUGACUCCAUCAGGAGACGUUCUGAUGCUUAUCACGCAAGAGAAGAGAUUAAAGCCAUGAAGAUGCAGAGGCAGAACAGAGACGAUGAGCUUUUGGAGCCUGUUAAGAUUAAGAAAGCUACGUGGAUGGCUGAUGGUACUCACUGGCCUGGAACUUGGUUGACUUCUGCUAGUGACCACGCCAAAGGUGACCACGCCGGUAUCAUUCAGGUAUAAAGUUGAUUAGUAAACCCUUCUUAACUUUCUUGGACGUCAAGUUUCAGACUAGGCAUGGACAUAUAAAAUCAAAAACCAAACCAAAAACCGGACCGAAACCAAACCGAGAACAUAAUGAGUAUCUGAAUAUCUAAAAUAUAGUCUAUAUACUUAAAAUACUAAAUUAUACUUAGUUUUAAAAUUAACAAUAUUUUUUUUAAAAGCCUAUUUAUAAACGGUACUAUUCUAAAAAACCAAAUUGACCAAAUUUUUUUUAUCCGAAUCAUUUAAAAUUAUCCGAAAGAACUUAAUUAUCCUAAUAAUUGUUAUCUGAAAUAUUUAAAUUUAUAUUGAAUUAUCCAAAAUUACUAGAAACCCGAAAUUUUAUCAGAUAUUAUCUAGUUUCUAACAUUAUUACUCUAAAUGAACCGAAACCAAACCGAAUUUUAUAAAUAACGAAAUGGUUCUUAUAUCUCUAAAACCAAAUAAAACGAACCGGAACAGAACGGAAAACCAAGCCCAUCCGUAUUUCAGACAAUGGAUCAACAUCUCAUUUUUGUCUCAACUGAUGUCAGGUGAUGUUGAAGCCACCUAGUGAUGAGCCACUACAUGGAGACUCCGAAGGUUUUAUUGAUCUAAACGAUGUGGACAUUCGACUCCCUCUCCUUGUUUAUGUCUCCCGUGAGAAACGUCCUGGCUAUGAUCACAACAAGAAGGCAGGAGCCAUGAACGCACUAGUAAGAGCUUCUGCCGUCAUGUCAAACGGAGCAUUCAUACUCAAUCUCGACUGUGACCAUUACAUAUACAACUCCGAGGCAAUGCGAGAAGGUAUGUGCUUCAUGAUGGACCGAGGAGGCGACCGUCUUUGCUACGUUCAGUUCCCGCAACGGUUCGAAGGUAUUGACCCCUCUGAUCGAUACGCUAACCACAACACUGUCUUCUUUGAUGUCAACAUGAGAGCUCUCGAUGGGCUUAUGGGCCCGGUUUACGUCGGAACCGGUUGUCUCUUCAGGAGAAUAGCUCUUUACGGGUUCGACCCGCCUCGGUCCAGAGAACGUUCCUCUGGCUGUUGCGGUUGUUGUUUCCCUCGUGGUAAGAAGAAGAAGAAUCACAUCCCUGAGGAGAACAUAGCUCUGCGGAUGGGUGAGUAUGAUGACGAGGAGAUGAGUCUUUACUUAGUCCCCAAAAAGUUCGGUAACUCGACGUUCCUCCUCGACUCCAUCCCCGUUGCUGAGUUCCAAGGCAGGCCUUUGGCGGACCACCCGUCUGUAAAAAACGGGCGGCCGCCCGGCGCGCUCACGAUUCCUCGUGAGCUUCUGGACGCGUCCACUGUAGCCGAAGCUAUCGCUGUUAUCUCGUGCUGGUACGAGGAUAAGACCGAGUGGGGGUCCCGUAUCGGCUGGAUCUACGGGUCGGUCACGGAAGACGUUGUGACGGGCUAUAGAAUGCAUAACCGUGGGUGGAAGUCAGUUUACUGCGUGACGAAGCGGGAUGCCUUCAGAGGCACGGCACCUAUUAACUUGACGGAUAGGCUUCACCAGGUUCUCCGUUGGGCUACCGGAUCUGUUGAGAUCUUCUUUUCGCGUAACAACGCGCUUCUCGCUAGCCCUAAGAUGAAGAUCCUCCAGAGAAUCGCUUACUUAAACGUCGGUAUCUACCCGUUUACAUCGAUCUUUCUUAUCGUAUACUGUUUCCUCCCUGCUCUGUCUCUCUUCUCUGGUCAGUUCAUUGUCCAGACGCUUAAUGUCACGUUCCUCGUCUACCUUCUCAUCAUCUCCAUCACUCUCUGCUUACUCGCCUUGCUGGAGAUCAAAUGGUCGGGGAUUUCACUAGAAGAGUGGUGGAGAAACGAGCAGUUUUGGCUCAUUGGAGGAACAAGUGCUCAUCUCGCAGCUGUACUUCAAGGUUUGCUCAAAGUCAUAGCUGGAGUUGAGAUCUCAUUCACUCUCACUACCAAGUCUGGAGGAGAUGACGUGGACGACGAGUUUGCGGAUUUGUACAUGGUCAAAUGGACUUCGCUUAUGAUCCCUCCUAUAACGAUCAUGAUGGUGAAUCUGAUAGCUAUUCGUAUCAGAUGAUGGAGGAGCGCUAGUAGAAUCUGCAUUCAAAAGAAAAGUAGCGAUCUUUACAAUUAGUAGAAUUCACAUUCUCCAUAUUUAGAAUUUUAAUCAUUUUUAGAUUGUUUCUUCUAAAAAAAGUAGAUGGACUUGUUUAUUCUGGAAUUUGUUUUCUACUAACCCAUUUUCCGUAAAAGACAAGUUCUAUUUUUAGUGGAACGUAAUUUUAAAAUUUUAUUUAUCAAGUUUUUUAACCAAAAAAAAUAUGUGUUUGUGUAUAUAGAUGUUUUAUUAAUUGUUUAUAUUUUUUAAAAAAAAUUUGGAUUCAUUAAACUAUUUAUUUCAUUAAAUUUCAGAAAUAGAAAGGAUAAAAGGGAGAAUAAAUAGACAAAUAUGGUUUUAUACCAUAGGGACAAUUGUGUUGUUUUUUGUUCCGUUUUGACAAUUUUCCCAAAAAAAAUUUGGUCACAAAAAUAGAUCACAAUGAGGAAAAUGACCAAAUGUUUCAUUAAAGAGGUAAAUAUACAUUUAUAACCAUAGAGUUAAUUAAUCUAGACUUAAGGCCUGACUAAUUUCUCUGUUACCACCCGCAAAUGCAGCUUUUACGGUUGGUAGCGGUUGACAGCGUUUCGAAACAAUCAUCCAAACCGUUACAAAUCGCUUCAAACCGCUCCGAACCUCUUAAAAUCAAAAGCUGGUUCCAGCUAGCGUUUGCGGUUGCGGGCGGUUGCGGGAAGAUAAUUUUUUUUUCUUUUUCUUUAAAAACCAUAUAAAUACAAAAAUAAAAAUAUUCAAUAAAUUUUUUAAAAUGGAAUUAUAAAAAUACUAAAAUAUAUCUAUUAUAUUUUAAUUAAUAUUAUAAAAUUUUAAAAUAAAAAUAUUUUCUAUAAUUUUAAAAAUUUAAAACUAUAACUUUGAAAAUAUAAUUUACAUAUUUAUUAUAAUAUUAUGAUUUUUGAUAUUUUUAUAAUUAUAUAAAAUGUAAAUAUUGUUAAUUUAUUAUUUAACCGCUGCUGUAUUUGGUAGUUAACCAGUCAUAAUUAUCCCGCAAACGCACCAAUUUUUAACCGCAGAACCAGUCGUACAAAUCUCUUAAAACCGCUAGAAACCGCAACCACCCGCAUCCGCAAACGCCCGCAGCCGCAACCGCAACCGCUGCGUUUGAACCAGUCAGGCCCUUAGACGAAACUAAUGAUAUAUAACAUAGUUUCUGUAAAAACCUCAUGACAUUCAAAAUAUAUAUAUAUCUUAAUAAAAAUGUUAUUUCUUUUCUCGCAGGCUUUUGAUAUUGAUCCGUGUGGUUGUACUUGCAUUGUUCUUGUCUUGGAGGAUAAAGCAUCAAAACCAAGAUGCUAUAUGGUUAUGGGGAAUGUCUGUAGUUUGCGAGCUUUGGUUCGCCUUCUCUUGGCUUCUUGAUCAGCUCCCUAAGCUAUGCCCCGUUAACCGUUCCACUGAUCUCCAAGUCCUUAAGGAGAAGUUCGAAACCCCAACACCAAGCAACCCGACAGGAAAGUCAGACCUUCCUGGUCUCGAUGUGUUUGUCUCUACAGCAGAUCCCGAGAAAGAACCUCCUCUGGUCACUGCCAACACCAUCUUAUCCAUUCUAGCUGCUGAUUAUCCUUGUGAGAAGCUUGCUUGCUACGUAUCAGAUGAUGGAGGAGCGCUUCUCACGUUUGAAGCUAUGGCUGAAGCUGCUAGCUUUGCAAACAUUUGGGUUCCUUUCUGUCGUAAACACACGAUAGAGCCGAGGAACCCUGACUCUUACUUUAGCUUAAAGAGAGAUCCUUACAAGAACAAAGUGAAACCUGACUUCGUCAAGGAUAGGAGACGUGUUAAGCGUGAGUACGAUGAGUUCAAAGUCAGGAUUAACAGCUUGCCUGACUCCAUCAGGAGACGUUCUGAUGCUUAUCACGCAAGAGAAGAGAUUAAAGCCAUGAAGAUGCAGAGGCAGAACAGAGACGAUGAGCUUUUGGAGCCUGUUAAGAUUAAGAAAGCUACGUGGAUGGCUGAUGGUACUCACUGGCCUGGAACUUGGUUGACUUCUGCUAGUGACCACGCCAAAGGUGACCACGCCGGUAUCAUU
rnacentral:lncRNA from 1 species